AAUCAAUAGGUCAAUACGCAAGGCACGAAGCACUUCUUGUGCCAAAUCAAGCGCAUGGUGGAUUUAAUUAAAUCAAUCAGCACUUCAGAAGGAAACUUAAAAAAUAUCCAAAAAAGAACUUCGAAUGGGAUUUAAAUCUCACGCAUGGCACCUCCCCUUUGGCCUCGGCGCUACCGAUGGCGGCAUGCGCUUGGCCGGCGGAGCAGGCGCAAGCGGCAAAACUGCAGGCCCUCGUGCGCUCGACUACCGCCGCCCACCUGCACCUCCCGCCCGAGCUGCACGCC
rnacentral:lncRNA from 1 species